AGCGCAGACGGUUGAUUAAGUCUGAUGUGAAAGCCCGGAGCUCAACUCCGGAAUGGCAUUGGAAACUGGUUAACUUGAGUGCAGUAGAGGUAAGUGGAACUCCAUGUGUAGCGGUGGAAUGCGUAGAUAUAUGGAAGAACACCAGUGGCGAAGGCGGCUUACUGGACUGUAACUGACGUUGAGGCUCGAAAGCGUGGGAGCAAACA
rnacentral:rRNA from 1 species